UGAGUAUUGCGGGCGGGGCCUAACAAUGCAGUCGAGCGGUAACACAGAGAGCUUGCUCUCGGGUGACGAGCGGCGGACGGGUGAGUAAUGUCUGGGAAACUGCCUGAUGGAGGGGGAUAACUACUGGAAACGGUAGCUAAUACCGCAUAACGUCGCAAGACCAAAGUGGGGGACCUUCGGGCCUCAUGCCAUCAGAUGUGCCCAGAUGGGAUUAGCUAGUAGGUGGGGUAAUGGCUCACCUAGGCGACGAUCCCUAGCUGGUCUGAGAGGAUGACCAGCCACACUGGAACUGAGACACGGUCCAGACUCCUACGGGAGGCAGCAGUGGGGAAUAUUGCACAAUGGGCGCAAGCCUGAUGCAGCCAUGCCGCGUGUAUGAAGAAGGCCUUCGGGUUGUAAAGUACUUUCAGCGAGGAGGAAGGCGUUAAGGUUAAUAACCUUAGCGAUUGACGUUACUCGCAGAAGAAGCACCGGCUAACUCCGUGCCAGCAGCCGCGGUAAUACGGAGGGUGCAAGCGUUAAUCGGAAUUACUGGGCGUAAAGCGCACGCAGGCGGUCUGUCAAGUCGGAUGUGAAAUCCCCGGGCUCAACCUGGGAACUGCAUUCGAAACUGGCAGGCUAGAGUCUUGUAGAGGGGGGUAGAAUUCCAGGUGUAGCGGUGAAAUGCGUAGAGAUCUGGAGGAAUACCGGUGGCGAAGGCGGCCCCCUGGACAAAGACUGACGCUCAGGUGCGAAAGCGUGGGGAGCAAACAGGAUUAGAUACCCUGGUAGUCCACGCCGUAAACGAUGUCGACUUGGAGGUUGUGCCCUUGAGGCGUGGCUUCCGGAGCUAACGCGUUAAGUCGACCGCCUGGGGAGUACGGCCGCAAGGUUAAAACUCAAAUGAAUUGACGGGGGCCCGCACAAGCGGUGGAGCAUGUGGUUUAAUUCGAUGCAACGCGAAGAACCUUACCUACUCUUGACAUCCAGAGAACUUAGCAGAGAUGCUUUGGUGCCUUCGGGAACUCUGAGACAGGUGCUGCAUGGCUGUCGUCAGCUCGUGUUGUGAAAUGUUGGGUUAAGUCCCGCAACGAGCGCAACCCUUAUCCUUUGUUGCCAGCGGUCCGGCCGGGAACUCAAAGGAGACUGCCAGUGAUAAACUGGAGGAAGGUGGGGAUGACGUCAAGUCAUCAUGGCCCUUACGAGUAGGGCUACACACGUGCUACAAUGGCAUAUACAAAGAGAAGCGACCUCGCGAGAGCAAGCGGACCUCAUAAAGUAUGUCGUAGUCCGGAUUGGAGUCUGCAACUCGACUCCAUGAAGUCGGAAUCGCUAGUAAUCGUAGAUCAGAAUGCUACGGUGAAUACGUUCCCGGGCCUUGUACACACCGCCCGUCACACCAUGGGAGUGGGUUGCAAAAGAAGUAGGUAGCUUAACCUUCGGGAGGGCGCUACCACUUUGUAUUACCUG
rnacentral:rRNA from 1 species